CAGCAGCCACGAUAAUACGUAGGUCCCGAGCGUUGUCCGGAUUUAUUGGGCGUAAAGCGAGCGCAGGCGGUUAGAUAAGUCUGAAGUUAAAGGCUGUGGCUUAACCAUAGUACGCUUUGGAAACUGUUUAACUUGAGUGCAAGAGGGGAGAGUGGAAUUCCAUGUGUAGCGGUGAAAUGCGUAGAUAUAUGGAGGAACACCGGUGGCGAAAGCGGCUCUCUGGCUUGUAACUGACGCUGAGGCUCGAAAGCGUGGGGAGCAAACAGGAUUAGAUACCCCGGUAGUCCCUGUCUCUUAUACC
rnacentral:rRNA from 1 species